rnacentral:tRNA from 1 species
AUCAAUGUAGCAAAUUAAGUGCAAUGAAUUUAAGCUUCAUAAAUAGAGACCUCUCUUUGAUA